rfam:Rattus norvegicus chromosome 12, whole genome shotgun sequence.
GGGGAUUUAGCUCAGUGGUAGAGCACUUGCCUAUCGAGCACAAGGCCCUGGGUUCGGUCCCCAGCUCCG